ACGGGGGGGGCAAGCGUUGCUCGGAAUUACUGGGCGUAAAGCGUGCGUAGACGGUCAUGUAAGUCGGGUGUGAACGCCCCGGGCUCAACCUGGGAAUUGCAUUCGAGACUGCAUGGCUAGGAUGCGGAAGAGGGAAGCGGAAUUUCCGGUGUAGCGGUGAAAUGCGUAGAUAUCGGAAGGAGCACCAGUGGCGAAAGCGGCUUCCUGGUCCAGCAUCGACGUUCAGGCACGAAAGCGUGGGGAGCAAACAGGA
rnacentral:rRNA from 1 species